UCCAGUAGAGAAAUUUUAGGUAGAUCUCGCUCCUCCAGCAAUGGGGGGAGUGCUUGCCCGGUCAAGCAAGUACUCGAAUUGGCUACCGGGGUGGUCGGCUAUGUACAUAGCUAAAGCUUUCCAGUCCGGGGACGUUUGUCUGGCGUAUCCCAGACUCAUGCACCAUGUUGAUACAUGCACCACUUGUGGGUGUUCAGGGUGUCGUGGGUUGUAAUCCCCUUCAGUGUGGAACACGCCACGUAAAACAAGUUCGGGAGAGGUCCGAAAGUCACUGUCCCCUAUCUACUAUCUAGCGAAACCACAGCCAAGGGAACGGGCUUGGAAUAAUUAGCGGGGAAAGAAGACCCUUUUGAGCUUGACUCUAAUCUGGCAGUGUAAGGAGACAUAAGAGGUGUAGAAUAAGUGGGAGAUAUUAGACCUCGGUUUGGUAUCGUCAAUGAAAUACCACUACUCUUAUUGUUUCCUUACUUACUUGAUUAAAUGGAACGUGUAUCAUUUCCUAGCCAUUAUACGGAUAUAUUUAUUAUAUCUUAUGGUAUUGGGUUUUGAUGCAAGCUUCUUGAUCAAAGUAUCACGAGUUUGUUAUAUAAUCGCAAACAAAUUCUUUAAUAAAACGAUGCAUUUAUGUAUUUUUGAUUUGAAAAUUUGGUAUAACUCCAAUUACUCAGGUAUGAUCCAAUUCAAGGACAUUGCCAGGUAGGGAGUUUGACUGGGGCGGUACAUCUCUCAAAUAAUAACGGAGGUGUCCCAAGGCCAGCUCAGUGCGGACAGAAACCACACAUAGAGCAAAAGGGCAAAUGCUGACUUGAUCUCGGUGUUCAGUACACACAGGGACAGCAAAAGCUCGGCCUAUCGAUCCUUUUGGUUUAAAGAGUUUUUAACAAGAGGUGUCAGAAAAGUUACCAUAGGGAUAACUGGCUUGUGGCGGCCAAGCGUUCAUAGCGACGUCGCUUUUUGAUCCUUCGAUGUCGGCUCUUCCUAUCAUUGUGAAGCAAAAUUCACCAAGCGUUGGAUUGUUCACCCAUGCAAGGGAACGUGAGCUGGGUUUAGACCGUCGUGAGACAGGUUAGUUUUACCCUACUAAUGACAAAACGUUGUUGCGACAGCAUUCCUGCGUAGUACGAGAGGAACCGCAGGUACGGACCAAUGGCACAAUACUUGUUCGAGCGAACAGUGGUAUGACGCUACGUCCGUUGGAUUAUGCCUGAACGCCUCUAAGGUCGUAUCCGUGCUGGACUGCAAUGAUAAAUAAGGGGCAAUUUGCAUUGUAUGGCUUCUAAACCAUUUAAAGUUUAUAAUUUAUUUUAUAAACGACAAUGGAUGUGAUGCCAAUGUAAUUUGUAACAUAGUAAAUUAGGA
rnacentral:ncRNA from 1 species